GACGAACGCUGGCGGCGUGCCUAAUACAUGCAAGUCGACCUUAGUGGCGAACGAGUGAGUAACAAGUGGGUAACCUUCCCAUAAGAAGGUGAUAACACUUGGAAACAGGUGCUAAUACAGUAUACUGCAUGAUGUACCCGCGGGGCAUUAUCUAUUUGGUGAGGUAAAGGCUCAACAAGGCCACGAUGCAUAUCCAACCUUAUGGGGUAAUCGGCCAUAUUGGGACUGAGAACCGGCCCGAACUCCUACGGUAGGAAGCAGUAGGGAGUCGUCGGCGAUGGACGAGAGGCUGACCGAGCAACGCCGCGUGAGUGAAGAAGGUAUUCGGAUCGUAAAACUCUGUUGUUAGAGAAGCGGUAUCUAACCAGAAAGCCACGGCUAACUACGUGCCAGCAGCCGCGGUAAUUC
rnacentral:rRNA from 1 species